UGCAGAUCACGAUAUCAUCGCCAGCAGUGCCUUGCACACUGGUGGUAGAAUGACCUUGAGACCCGCCCCGAUAUGAGCAUAAAAGUGGGAUGAUAAUCCCACGAUAUGCGAAUAUUGGGUAGGAUUGUGGGAGUGCGUAGCACGGAGCAAUCCGUUGGCA
rnacentral:sRNA from 1 species